UUCAAAUUGAGACUAUUCGAUCCAGGGGCUGGUCAUCAAGAUGGAGCAGGGUAUAGAGAAGCCAUUAGGGAUGAUACAGAACACCACCAAAGGAGCUCCUUCUGGGAUUCUCUAUUGGCUGAACUCAGCCAGAAGCUGCCAAGGGAGACCCCCACAACUGGAUGCAGCCCACUGAAGUCAGCUUCCUGGGGUGCGUAGCUGAAGGUAGCAGGGAGCAAAAAGAAUCUGAAGGGGAAGUGAACAAUGUAGAGCGUAUCUGUGCUGAAGACGUAAGGAGAGAGUGGAGGUCAGAAGCUGGCAUGGUCCCUGGUGCAUGUAUCAGCCGCUAAAGCUGGAGUGGAUGAAUCAGAACUUUCCCCAUGGGAGCAUUUAUAAAAAGGGGACACCCAGCGCAGAAGAUGUUUUCCAGGGAGAUCUCGGGGAGCCCAACAAGCCAAGAAGAGCAGAGCAAAGCAUUCCAAGGAAGGACUCUAAGUCUGCAACCGAGCACACACGAGGGUAGCCUACGCAUGUACGUCUUGCAGUGAUGGCAAGGAGCAGGAGAAAGAAAGCCCAUCCAAACAAGCAUAUUGGAAGCCUAUGUAUCCCAUAAGCUGACAUCUUGUUGCCCAAAGCAUGUCAUGUGCGUGGUCCAGAGUCAGUGUUGAAGGGCUCUGCAAAAUCACAUGGUAAAGACUGUGGUUUCAGGGAGGAGUGAAGAUUUGUGCGCAUUGCUCCAAUUGACAACCAUGGCACUAGGCUCAGGCCACACUUCUUCCUAACAAGAGAGCAAGUCAAAGCGUGGUUAGUUAAAGUCCAUACAAAAACUCACUUUAACAGGCCUCCUCUGGAUUGAACAGCUGAUAUUAAGUCAUAAGGUACCACAUCAGAAAGAUACUGGGUAUCUUUGGUUCAGCAAUUCCAUCACCAGGGACUUUUUCAUCCUAAGGAAAUCACUGCACGGUGGACAAAGAUAUAUGCAUAAGGAUGCUCCUUCUGGCCAAAGACCAAAAACAUAACUGGCCAUCAGUAAAAGCCAACACAAGGAAAGACCAUGUGAAUACACAGCAAGAACGUGGUGCUCUGCAAGUCAGAAACAGACCCGUCAUCAGACACCAAAUCAGCCAGCACCUUGAUCUAGGAUUUCUGGCCUCCAAAACAGUGAGAAAAUAAAAUUCUGUUGUUUAAGCCAUGCAGCCUGUUGUAUUUCAUUAUGGCAGCCUGAGCAGAAUAAGACAGGUAUAUACAAAUGCAAAUUCUAUUAAGAAAUCUGUAUCUUUUACCCUAUUGAAGUAAGUUAUACCUCAAUUGAAGAAUAAAUAAAAGAGAAAGAAGGAGC
rnacentral:lncRNA from 1 species